AUGCAUGUCUCAGUUUAAGCAGCUCCAUAGCAACACUGUGCAUGGCUCAUUAAAACAGCCACAACCUGGGUCGUGGUCCUGCUACAUGGAUAUCUUCGGCAAUUCUGCAGCUAAUACAUGCACCAGCAUUCACCUGUGGUGAGUUGUGGUUGUUGCAUUCAGAAUUAAUGCAAGCUGUGCUUGAUGACCAGAUGAAUCAUUACAACUGCAUGGAUUGUAGUUUGUACACUGUUGAUGCUCUAUCAAGGUUUCUGACCUAUCAGCUUCCGAUGGCAGGGUAAAGGCCUACCGUGGCAGUGACAGGUGACGGAGGAUUAGGGUUUGACUCCGGAGAGGGAGCCUGAGAAAUGGCUCCCACAUCUAAGGAAGGCAGCAGGCGCGUGAAUUGCCCAAUCCUGAGAGAGGGAGGUAGUGACAA
rnacentral:rRNA from 1 species